rnacentral:rRNA from 1 species
UAGAGGAAGUAAAAGUCGUAACAAGGUCUCCGUUGGUGAACCAGCGGAGGGAUCAUUACAGAGUUUUCUAACUCACCAAAAACCAUGUGAACUUACCUAUGUUGCCUCGGCGGGGAACCUACCCGGGAGCUACUCUACAGUAGCCUACCCGGUACCUACCCGGUAGCUACCAUGUAGUUGUAGGCUUACCCGCCGGCGGACCAUUCAAACUCUGAUAUUUAUUUUGGCACUUCUGAGUUAUUAUACUUAAUAAGUUAAAACUUUCAACAACGGAUCUCUUGGUUCUGGCAUCGAUGAAGAACGCAGCGAAAUGCGAUAAGUAAUGUGAAUUGCAGAAUUCAGUGAAUCAUCGAAUCUUUGAACGCACAUUGCGCCCAUUAGUAUUCUAGUGGGCAUGCCUGUUCGAGCGUCAUUUCAACCCUCAAGCCCUGGUUGCUUGGUGUUGGGAGAUUAUCUUGCCGAAAGGUGGACAACUCCUUAAAACUAUUGGCGGAGUCGCGGUGACCCCAAGCGUAGUAAAUCUUGUUUUCUCUCGCUUUAGGGUGUCAACGCUGGCCUUCUAGCCGUUAAAGCCUCUAAUUUAUUAGUGGUUGACCUCGAAUCAGGUAGGACUACCCGCUGAACUUAAGCAUAUCAAUAAGCGGAGGA